GCUGGGCGUGGUGGCGCAUGCCUGUAAUCCCAGCUACUUGGGAGGCUGAGGCAGGAGAAUCGCUUCCACCUGGGAGUCAGAGGUGGCAGUGAGCCGAGAUCAUGCCACUGCACUCCAGCCUGGUGACAGAGUGAGACUCUGUCUCGA
ensembl:misc_RNA Metazoa_SRP Metazoan signal recognition particle RNA